AGAGCGCAGGGUGGAUGCCUUGGCACUAAGAGCCGAUGAAAGACGUGAUAAGCUGCGAAAAGCUUCGGGGAGGAGCAAAUAUCCUUUGAUCCGGAGAUAUCUGAAUGGGGAAACCCGGCUGAGCAAACCUCAGUCACUGCAUGGUGAAUCCAUAGCCAUGCAGAGGGAACCCGGUGAACUGAAACAUCUAAGUAGCCGGAGGAAGAGAAAGAAACAUCGAUUCCCAAAGUAGCGGCGAGCGAAAUGGGAAGAGCCCAAACCAGCGUGCGUGCAUGCUGGGGUUAUGGACUGCAAACGUGAACCGAUUUGUUAGUGGAACUGUCUGGGAAGUCAGGCCAGAGAGGGUGAAAGCCCCGUACACGAAAACAAUAGGAAGCAGCAGGAUCCAGAGUACCACGAGACACGAGAAACCUUGUGGGAAGUCGGAGGGACCACCCUCCAAGGCUAAAUACUCCUUAGUGACCGAUAGCGCAUAGUACUGUGAAGGAAAGGUGAAAAGGACCCCGGGAGGGGAGUGAAAAAGAACCUGAAACCCUGUGUUUACAAGCUGUGGAAGCACGUUAAGGUGCGACCGCGUACUUUUUGUAGAACGGUCCGGCGAGUUGCCGGUACUGGCAAGGUUAAGAGCUUAAGGCUCGGAGCCGAAGGGAAACCAAGUCUCAAAUGGGCGUCAAGUCAGUACAGGCAGACCCGAAACCGGGUGACCUAUCCAUGUCCAGGUUGAAGCGGAAGUAAAAUUCCGUGGAGGACCGGAUCCACAUCCGUUGAAAAGGGUGGGAAUGAGGUGUGGAUAGGGGAGAAAUUCCAAUCGAACCCGGAGAUAGCUGGUUCUCCUCGAAAUAGCUUUAGGGCUAGCCUCGUAUUAAUGCCAUGGAGGUAGAGCACUGAAUUUCCUAGGGGGCGUCAAAGCUUACCGAAGAAUAUCAAACUCCGAAUGCCAGCCAGAUGAUGACCGGGAGUCAGACUGCACGAGAUAAGUUGGGUAGUCAAAAGGGAAAGAGCCCAGACCUACAGCUAAGGUCCCAAAGUGUGUGUUAAGUGGAAAAGGAUGUGGGAUUUCAAAGACAACUAGGAUGUUGGCUCAGAAGCAGCCACACAUUCAAAGAGUGCGUAAUAGCUCACUAGUCGAGAGGUCCUGCGCCGAAAAUGUCCGGGGCUGAAACACAACACCGAAGCUUAGGAAUGUAUGUAAGUACAUUGGUAGAGGAGCAUUCUUAGUGCGGAGAAGCGGUACCGAUAAGGAGCCGUGGAGCGUUAAGAAGAGAGAAUGCCGGAAUGAGUAGCGAGAUGGAGGUGGGAAUCCUCCAGGCCGAAUAUCCAAGGUUUCCAGAGUAAAGCUGAUCUGCUCUGGGUAAGUCGGGGCCUAAGGCGAGGUCGAAAGACGUAGUCGAUGGAUAACAGGUUGAGAUUCCUGUACUGCUGUAUAACAGAACUGUGGGGACACAGAGGGAGAGCACAUCCCGGGAAUGGAAAUACCGGGGCAAGCGAGGUAGGAGCUGCAAUGGCAAAUCCGUGUAGCAAUCCGAAGGCGUGAUGCAUAACGAAAUUUAGUAGUGAAUUGUGUGAGCCAGCUGUCAAGAAAAGCCGCUAUUGUUUGUACAGUACCCGUACCGUAAACCGACACAGGUGGAUGAGGAGAGAAUCCUAAGGCCGACGGAAGAAGCAUUGUUAAGGAACUCGGCAAAAUGACCCCGUAACUUCGGGAGAAGGGGUGCCACAGAGAUGUGGCCGCAGAGAAUAGGCUCAAGCAACUGUUUAGCAAAAACACAGGUCUAUGCAAAACCGAAAGGUGAGGUAUAUGGGCUGACGCCUGCCCGGUGCUGGAAGGUUAAGAGGAGAGGUUAGCGCAAGCGAAGCUUUGAAUUGAAGCCCCAGUAAACGGCGGCCGUAACUAUAACGGUCCUAAGGUAGCGAAAUUCCUUGUCGGGUAAGUUCCGACCCGCACGAAAGGCGUAAUGAUUUGAGCGCUGUCUCGACAAUGCACCCGGUGAAAUUGAAAUACCAGUGAAGAUGCUGGUUACCUGCGCCAGGACGGAAAGACCCCAUGGAGCUUUACUCCAGUUUGAUACUGGGAUUCGGUAUUGCAUGUACAGGAUAGGUGGGAGGCUUUGAAACAUGGACGCCAGUCUGUGUGGAGCCAAUGUUGGGAUACCACCCUUGCGAUAUUGGGUUUCUAACCUGCGCCCGUGACCCGGGCGGGGGACAAUGUCAGGCGGGGAGUUUGACUGGGGCGGUCGCCUCCGAAAGGGUAUCGGAGGCGCUCAAAGGUUCCCUCAGAAUGGUUGGAAACCAUUCGAAGAGUGCAAAGGCAGAAGGGAGCUUGACUGCGACACCGACGGGUGGAGCAGGUACGAAAGUAGGACUUAGUGAUCCGGUGGUAUAAAGUGGGAUUGCCAUCGCUCAACGGAUAAAAGCUACCCUGGGGAUAACAGGCUUAUCACUCCCAAGAGUUCACAUCGACGGAGUGGUUUGGCACCUCGAUGUCGGCUCAUCGCAUCCUGGGGCUGUAGUAGGUCCCAAGGGUUGGGCUGUUCGCCCAUUAAAGCGGUACGCGAGCUGGGUUCAGAACGU
rnacentral:rRNA from 1 species